CCAAAUCGUCUGUUUCUCAGAAUCCCAUCUGGAGCACGCGUUGAUCGCAGGGAAGGACAGCCCAUCCCCUUUGAGCAACUGAUUCUAAUCAAUGCCAAUGUUCAUCGUGAAAUUCGUCCUGCUGUACCAGUUGUUGAGCCAGUUGUCGUGCCAGUUGUCGUGCCAGUUGUCCAGCCAAUUGUCCAGCCAAUUGUCAAGCCAUUCGUUGAUCCAGAGGCUGAACCAGAAGACGAUGAUAUCUAACUAAUUAAUCGAAGGAGUAGCAGCACUUCGUUUUUUCAUUGACAAAAAUUUAAUUUCGUCGCUCUCCACGGUCUGAAGUCAUUGAAAAGUGUUUCAAAAUGAUAGAAAUUCGUUCUCAUAUUAAUUUUGACAUUAAUGACUGUUCAUUAAUUGUUCAAUUGAUAACUAGAUCCAUCGUUCUCUUUAUUUUGGUUAAUCAAUCAAUUUCCCGGUAAAUUGAUGGGAUUUUUUCCUUUUUUUGGUAGUUGAAGUCGAGACUUUAAUGAUUACCAGAUACUUACCAAUACCAGUUAGUGAUUUAUUUAAUUAUUGAUUUAAUUAAUGGAGUUACUGUCGUGGAUUUUACCCUCAAUACACUUCAGAGUGUCUUCUUCGCAAAAUUCCAUUUGCCUUUGGUGUAUUUAUUGAUUUUAAUGUAUUAUUUGCAAAAUAUUUAGUAUUCAAAAAUAAAUGGAAAAUUUCGUUCAAA